rnacentral:rRNA from 1 species
UACAGAGGGUGCAAGCGUUGUUCGGAAUUAUUGGGCGUAAAGGGCGCGUAGGCGGUGCGGUAAGUCUGCAGUGAAAUCUCUGGGCUCAACUCAGAGUCUGCUGUAGAAACUGCCGUGCUUGAGUGUGGGAGAGGUGAGUGGAAUUCCCGGUGUAGCGGUGAAAUGCGUAGAUAUCGGGGAGGAACACCUGUGGCGAAGGCGGCCCCCCUGGGCCGGCCCUGACACUGAGACGCGAAGGCGUGGGGGAGCGAACGGG